rnacentral:rRNA from 1 species
GACGAACGCUGGCGGCGUGCUUAACACAUGCAAGUCGAACGCUGAACCCGCUUCGGUGGGGGAUGAGUGGCGAACGGGUGAGUAACACGUGGGCAACCUGCCCCCGGCUCUGGGAUAACUCCAAGAAAUUGGGGCUAAUACCGGAUGUGACCGCUGGCCGCAUGGUCUGGUGGUGGAAAGGGUUUCCGGCGGGGGAUUGGCCCGCGGCCUAUCAGCGUGUUGGUUGGGUAGUGGCCUACCAAGGCGACGACGGGUAGCCGGCCUGAGGGGGUGACCGGCCACACUGGGACUGCGACACGGCCCAGACUCCUACGGGAGGCAGCAGUGGGGAAUAUUGCGCAAUGGGCGGAAGCCUGACGCAGCGACGCCGCGUGGGGGAUGACGGCCUUCGGGUUGUAAACCUCUUUCAGCAGGGACGAAGCGCAAGUGACGGUACCUGCAGAAGAAGCACCGGCCAACUACGUG